rnacentral:rRNA from 1 species
UAGUAGCGGCGAGUGAGCGGCAAAAGCUCAAAUUUGAAAUCUGGCUCUUUCAGAGUCCGAGUUGUAAUUUGAAGAAGGUAUCUUUGGGUCUGGCUCUUGUCUAUGUUUCUUGGAACAGAACGUCACAGAGGGUGAGAAUCCCGUGCGAUGAGAUGAUCCAGGCCUAUGUAAAGUUCCUUCGAAGAGUCGAGUUGUUUGGGAAUGCAGCUCUAAGUGGGUGGUAAAUUCCAUCUAAAGCUAAAUAUUGGCGAGAGACCGAUAGCGAACAAGUACAGUGAUGGAAAGAUGAAAAGAACUUUGAAAAGAGAGUGAAAAAGUACGUGAAAUUGUUGAAAGGGAAGGGCUUGAGAUCAGACUUGGUAUUUUGUAUGUUACUUCUUCGGGGGUGGCCUCUACAGUUUAUCGGGCCAGCAUCAGUUUGGGCGGUAGGAGAAUUGCGUUGGAAUGUGGCACGGCCUCGGUUGUGUGUUAUAGCCUUCGUCGAUACUGCCAGCCUAGACUGAGGACUGCGGUUUAUACCUAGGAUGUUGGCAUAAUGAUCUUAAGUCGCCCGUCUUGAAGAUGCUUAGUAGCGGCGAGUGAGCGG